CGUGCAUAACACAUGCAAGUCGAACGAGAGAAUUGCUAGCUUGCUAAUAAUUCUCUAGUGGCGCACGGGUGAGUAACACGUGAGUAACCUGCCCCCGAGAGCGGGAUAGCCCUGGGAAACUGGGAUUAAUACCGCAUAGUAUCGAAAGAUUAAAGCAGCAAUGCGCUUGGGGAUGGGCUCGCGGCCUAUUAGUUAGUUGGUGAGGUAACGGCUCACCAAGGCGAUGACGGGUAGCCGGUCUGAGAGGAUGUCCGGCCACACUGGAACUGAGACACGGUCCAGACACCUACGGGUGGCAGCAGUCGAGAAUCAUUCACAAUGGGGGAAACCCUGAUGGUGCGACGCCGCGUGGGGGAAUGAAGGUCUUCGGAUUGUAAACCCCUGUCAUGUGGGAGCAAAUUAAAAAGAUAGUACCACAAGAGGAAGAGACGGCUAACUCUGUGCCAGCAGCCGCGGUAAUACAGAGGUCUCAAGCGUUGUUCGGAAUCACUGGGCGUAAAGCGUGCGUAGGCUGUUUCGUAAGUCGUGUGUGAAAGGCGCGGGCUCAACCCGCGGACGGCACAUGAUACUGCGAGACUAGAGUAAUGGAGGGGGAACCGGAAUUCUCGGUGUAGCAGUGAAAUGCGUAGAUAUCGAGAGGAACACUCGUGGCGAAGGCGGGUUCCUGGACAUUAACUGACGCUGAGGCACGAAGGCCAGGGGAGCGAAAAAAAUUAGCUACCCCUGUAGUCCUGGCAGUAAACGGUGCACGCUUGGUGUGCGGGGAAUCGACCCCCUGCGUGCCGGAGCUAACGCGUUAAGCGUGCCGCCUGGGGAGUACGGUCGCAAGAUUAAAACUCAAAGAAAUUGACGGGGACCCGCACAAGCGGUGGAGUAUGUGGCUUAAUUCGAUGCAACGCGAAGAACCUUACCUGGGCUUGACAUGUAAUGAACAACAUGUGAAAGCAUGCGACUCUUCGGAGGCGUUACACAGGUGCUGCAUGGCCGUCGUCAGCUCGUGUCGUGAGAUGUUUGGUUAAGUCCAGCAACGAGCGCAACCCCUGUUGCCAGUUACCAGCACGUGAAGGUGGGGACUCUGGCGAGACUGCCCAGAUCAACUGGGAGGAAGGUGGGGACGACGUCAGGUCAGUAUGGCCCUUAUGCCCAGGGCUGCACACGUACUACAAUGCCCAGUACAGAGGGGGCCGAAGCCGCGAGGCGGAGGAAAUCCUGAAAACUGGGCCCAGUUCGGACUGUAGGCUGCAACCCGCCUACACGAAGCCGGAAUCGCUAGUAAUGGCGCAUCAGCUACGGCGCCGUGAAUACGUUCCCGGGUCUUGCACA
rnacentral:rRNA from 1 species